AGCUCCAAUAGCGUAUAUUUAAGUUGCUGCAGUUAAAAAGCUCGUAGUUGGAUUUCGGGUGGGGCCUGCCGGUCCGCCGUUUCGGUGUGCACUGGUACGACCCACCUUGUUGCCGGGGACGGGCUCCUGGGCUUCACUGUCCGGGACUCGGAGUCGGCGCUGUUACUUUGAGUAAAUUAGAGUGUUCAAAGCAGGCCUACGCUCUGAAUACAUUAGCAUGGAAUAACACGAUAGGACUCUGGCCUAUCU
rnacentral:rRNA from 1 species